rnacentral:rRNA from 1 species
GAACCUGCGGAGGGAUCAUUACAGAGUUAUCCAACUCCCAAACCCAUGUGAACUUAUCUCUUUGUUGCCUCGGCGCAAGCUACCCGGGACCUCGCGCCCCGGGCGGCCCGCCGGCGGACAAACCAAAACUCUUGUUAUCUUAGUUGAUUAUCUGAGUGUCUUAUUUAAUAAGUCAAAACUUUCAACAACGGAUCUCUUGGUUCUGGCAUCGAUGAAGAACGCAGCGAAAUGCGAUAAGUAAUGUGAAUUGCAGAAUUCAGUGAAUCAUCGAAUCUUUGAACGCACAUUGCGCCCAUUAGUAUUCUAGUGGGCAUGCCUGUUCGAGCGUCAUUUCAACCCCUAAGCACAGCUUAUUGUUGGGAACCUACGGCUUCGUAGUUCCUCAAAGACAUUGGCGGAGUGGCAGUGGUCCUCUGAGCGUAGUAAUCUUUUAUCUCGCUUCUGUUAGGUGCUGCCCCCCCGGCCGUAAAACCCCCAAUUUUUUCUGGUUGACCUCGGAUCAGGUAGGAAUACCCGCUGAACUUAAGCAUAUCAAU